GACAGAGGGUGCAAACGUUGUUCGGAUUUACUGGGCGUAAAGCGCGUGUAGGCGGCUUUGCAAGUCGGAUGUGAAAGCCCACGGCUCAACCGUGGAAGUGCAUCCGAAACUGCAUGGCUGGAGUCUCGGAGAGGAAGGUGGAAUGCUUGGUGUAGAGGUGAAAUUCGUAGAUAUCGAGAGGAACACCGGUGGCGAAGGCGGCCAACUGGACGAACACUGACGCUGAGACACGAAAGCGUGGGGAGCAAACAGG
rnacentral:rRNA from 1 species